GACCCCGCACAAGCAGCGGAGCAUGUGGUUUAAUUCGUCGCAACGCGAAGAACCUUACCAAGGCUUGACAUGUUAGUGCAUAGUAUGGAAACAUAUGAAAUUGCAGUUCUACUGCAACACUUUCACAGAUGGUGCAUGGUUGUCGUCAGCUCGUGUCGUGAGAUGUUGGGUUAAGUCCCGCAACGAGCGCAACCCCUGUAUUUAGUUGCCACCAUUAAGUUGGGCACUCUAAAUAGACUGCCAUAGAUAAUAUGGAGGAAGGUGGGGAUGACGUCAAAUCAUCAUGCCUCUUACGCCUUGGGCUACACACGUGCUACAAUGGACGUUACAAAGAGAUGCAAUAUAGUAAUAUGGAGCUAAACUCAAAAAAGCGUUCUCAAUUCAGAUUGUGGGCUGCAACCCGCCCACAUGAAGUCGGAGUUGCUAGUAAUUGUGGAUCAGCACGCCACAGUGAAUGCGUUCUCGGGGUUU
rnacentral:rRNA from 1 species